GCCUGGGUGGCUCAGUCGGUUAAGCGUCCGACUUCGGCUCAGGUCAUGAUCUCACGGUUUGUGGGUUUGAGCCCCACGUCAGGCU
rnacentral:tRNA from 1 species